GGCUCUGGGUCUGGGCUGGGCUGGGCUGGGCAGUGCGGGGCGGGGAGGAGCAUGUCCCUU
rnacentral:miRNA from 1 species